GGCUGGUCCAAAGCUAGUGAUUUAUCUCGAUUGUUCACAGUUAGUUACAGAUUAAAUUCUAUGUUCUACCUUUCCUCCUUCUCACGACUACACUUGAGAAGUCUUAA
ensembl:misc_RNA Y_RNA Y RNA